rnacentral:tRNA from 1 species
GCAGUGGUGGUUCAGUGGUAGAAUUCUCCCCUUCUGUGUAGAGGACCCAGGUUCAAUUCCUGGCCAGUGUG